rnacentral:lncRNA from 1 species
GCUUUUGCUGCUUAUAUAAUUCUAUUGGGCAAACGAGCUAUGAGGCACAGCAGGUCUGCAACGCAGCAUCACCUGAUAACUGCCAAACAAAUGUUUUUAUUGAAGAGAUCAUACACAACAUGACAACAAUGCACUCCAUGAAUGGUACGCGGGAUAAACAUCGGCGGCUGAUCUAACCAGUUUAUCACCCGGCGGAAGCGUAGCACUGCCCCUAAUCUAUCUAGUCUACAGUCUACAGAUAUGACUUGGGCUACAAGAAGGAAUAAGAGGGAGAGAGAAUUAUAUGCGUGACAUAGUUUGUCACGUUACAAUAUGUUUAACAUCCCAAUCACAAAUCUCGCAAAAAAAAACAUCCCAAUCACAAACCAUCUAUUAUGGGAACGGAGUUGAUAUGAGGAAACGGCUAUAUCCACACAAAGAAUAAGAUCAUCGGUCAUUGUUGUGGGUAACUUACCACCAAAAAAUUCUUACAAUCGUCGAAUCCUUCCAAUAAUGGGCUAAGGUCUAACUGACCAUCCAUAAAACACAUAGUUUGGGCAUUCUGGCUUGGGUGAUUGCGAGGUUUAACUUGUCUGCGACACUUGAACCUUUUUUUCGAGGAAGCAACACUUGAACCUUCCCCAAGGCCUUCUCGCCAUCACCAACACCGAGCUUCUUACGAACGGCUAAGAGCACCUCUCCGGCACCGCGGAUGUAAGGUGUUGUUCGCCUGUGGGCAGAGUUACUUCCUCCAUGUCGUCCAUAUAGUCCUGCAAACACAGUAAAGGGAGAUCAUGGAUUUCUCGUCGCAUCUAGUAGUACUAAAUACACGUCCUCUAAUGUUACGAGUAUCUAGUAAACAAUCUCUUCUGCCUAAAACCGACUCCAUUUUUUUUAAGAUUUUGAUAGCAAAUUAUCUGCAUUGGUGGUCAGGACCAUAUAUGUCAAACCUUUUGAAAAGAAGACUAUGUAUGUUUACUCUUCGGAGCGAGACAAGAAGACAUUUUUGAAUGAUGAUGUCUUGUGAUUAGGAAGUGAUCAGACUAUCAGGUCUAAAUGGGUCACUUCCAACUUUCCAAGAGUUUGGCGAUACACGCUAGACCAUGUAGCGUUUAAGCCUCGGGGUGAUGGAAACAAAGUUAAGACCUGCAAUAGUAUUGAGCUACAGAGGAAAUGAUGCAAAGUGGUUUGGUCCCCCAAACAGCUCAAAUCUGCAAGCAACACCUCCAAGUGUUAGCAUUGGCAUGGUACAGUGAAGUACUAGUUAGUGGCCUAGUAACGGCUGUGCAGCAGCAAGAGAAUCAGAUAGUUGGAGUAAGGAAAACACAGGCCAUGUAAAAUAUGCCUUGGUGGCUCAGUCCAAAUCUAUCUAUAUCCAUAACUGUCUAUUCUAGCUAUAUCAAUAUCUUCUAAUAGGAGUCUAUGCUAUACCUGUAUUGUAUAUAUAUAUCUAUAUCUAUAUCUAUACAAUGGUAAGUAAUCAAGCAUUUUGCAAUGUUACAAGUAUCCUCCGCCGUCUAGAAGAAGGCCCGACAAAUUGCAUCUACUGCUUUGGGGACCUUUUUGGGUAACAAAGAUUGACAUACAAUAUGUGGCGAAGGAGUCAAGAACAAUGGCAAGAAGGAGAAGGACAGCGAGAGGGUCCUAGCCCUCCAACCUUUAGGAACUUAUGACAUUUCGAAAUGAUGGGUUGAAAAGCACAGGCAGACAUGAGGGCAAAGAGGGGUGGGCCAAGGUAUAUGUCAGGGAAGGAGGAAACGGAUCAAUUAUGAUACAUAACCAUGCAAUGAUUAUGUGUCCAAGAUUAAAACAUUUGUGUUCUGUACUCAUAAUCGAUUAACUAUAAACGAAGUAUUUUACAUGAAAUCUGUGAUCGAAGUUAAACUUAGGAACACGUGGGCAACUUGCAUUAUCCAAGAGGGAGUACAUUAAGAGGUGAUUAAUAUCUGCAUUACUAUGCAGUAACAUAACACAGGAAUAGAUGACAGUUGGCUUUUGCUGCUUAUAUAAUUCUAUUGGGCAAACGAGCUGUGAGGCACAGCAGGCCUGCAACUCAGCAUCACCUGAUAACUGCCAAACAAAUGUUUUUAGUGAACAAAUCAUACACAACAAUGCACUCCAUGAAUGGUACACAGGAUAACAUCAGGUCGAAUUAUUCAAGAUAUACCUAACAUGAUUCAAGUAAACCUAAGUAAUGGAACAUUAAAUAUCUAAGGACGUGAAAAAACAGAAAUGAAUAUGUACAGCUGGGCCAUCACAUGGAGGUGACAAUCAGGAGCAUCCCAUAUUAGCCAAACCAAUUUAGACCAAGUUGGUUAGAAGUCGGUGGUAGUUUUACUGGUUUCUGCCAUGUUUGAGAAUUUUUUCACCUUUGUUCGGACGGCCACCAACUUCCUAGUAGCAGAGCAAACAAGGUGGACCUGACCUAUCAACACUUACUCUGCCCGUCAUGUGAUCAUGUUAGAACACAGGCUACUCGAAUGAACGCGUAACUAAGUGUUGCCUCCUUUCACUGAAGCUGAGAUCUUCUGCUGCUUUCAGGCCAAUGGAAGCUCGGCGCAUUGUUAUAUUGUGUCAAAUCGCAAGAUAUGGUCUCCACCUAGAAGGCAAACAAAAUUUAAGAAAAAUAAGCAUUAGUUCAUCAGAAUUUACUAAGACCAGUAUGAACUUACUAAGACCAGUAAGACCAGUAAAAACGGAGGGAGCAGUAGCAUAAAUGAUAAAAUCCCGAAGAAGAAUACGGUUCAGCCCAGCUUGGACGCCAUGUGCGAAUUUGCGACUAUUUUGGAAUGAGAACAAAGUUUCAAUGUUCUGAACAUCUCUUUAAAACGGAAUAUAUUUUAAAAUUCUGCACAUUUUAUAAAAAUUUGAGUUCGAUUUUUUAUGAUAUUAUAUGAACUUUAUUGAAAAUUUUGAAUUUACGAAAAAAGAGGAAGAAAGAAAAGUAAACUUGAUAGAAAAAAACAAAAGAAAUAUGAAUGAAAAAGUGAAAGAAACUGAAAAAGAAAAAUAGAAACAUAACAAAAAAAGGAUUCAGGCCUAGUUGGGCAUCAUGUGCGAAUCUGUGACAUAAAUAGGGUUUUCCCACCUGUGUGGGUACAAAAAUAACUAGGCUGGCUUUGCUGGGCCACACUGUAGGCGACCCAUGUACGAAAUUCUGUCUUUUUUUAUUUUCUAGUACAGGCAUGGACAAAUAUUUAAUACCACCUCAAACAGAAAAAAAUCUUUUCGAUGGUGAACGGAUAAAAAAAUCGAAAAAAACGCACCUUGAUUUAUUAAUAUUAAUUAAUAUUAAUAAUUAUAAUUAUAAUUAUAUAUAUUAUUAUUAUAUUAUUAUUAUUAUUAGUAAGAAAGUAAAAAAAUAUAGAAAUGAAGUUUUGCCUUUCGAUUGUAAGCAAUUUUUUUUAGUGGUAUGUAACAAGGUUGAGGCGGGUGGACGGGACGAGUGGUAUUUUCGGCCCGCUCCUGUAAACAAGGUAUACAUUGAACGAGUCGAGUUGUAUAUUUCGCCCCGAAUGCUUUUGGCUCGGUAAACUGAACAAGCUAAGUUGUAUAUUUCGGCCUGAAGUUUGACCGGUCCAGCUCGGUUGGCCCAAAAAAAUCAUGGUCGGCACGGCCAUGACUCGUCAGCCCCCAUGGCGAACCACCGUGCCCCCGAGCACCGCCGCAUCACCAUUGUCCUACAAGAGCGAGGAGUUGCUCCGGAAUGCCGCAGCGCCGAGACAUAGGGCUCAAAGAUGAUAAGAGGAGCGGUGGGAGAGGAACGCUGAUAAUGCAGACGCCUCGCUCCAUAAUCUGCAAAGACUAGAAGAAGACUAGAGACUUUUCUUCUCAUGGACAUGGACAGAGCCAGGCAACACCAUUGGGCACGAACAUUCGCCGGUCGCUGGCUGCCACCGUCCGACUGGAAGACCCGAGUCUUCGGUAGCAGCAGACUCCACCACACAAAUCGGGUCUUCGGCAGCAGACUAUAUAGGAGUAUAGCACCCGGAGAUAUCAAAGGCAAUCGAAACCAAAACCAAAACCAAAACCAUGGCCAUGUUCCCCUGUCUAAUCCUCAGUCUGCUCCUCACUUUUGCAUCGGCGCAGCUGACGACGUUGAGCGCCGGCUCGACUCUCGCCGUGGAGGACUACGAGCGCACGUUCCUCGCCUCACCAAACGGGACCUUCUCCUGCGGCUUCUACCCGGUCGGCUCGAACGCCUUCACCUUCUCCGUCUGGUUCGCCCGACAAGGCCGUGGUCUGGUCCGUGAACCGCCAUUCCCCGGUGAACGGGCACGGGUCCAAGGCGCUGCUGCACGGCGAUGGCUACCUCGUCCUGGCCGACGCCAACGGCUCGGCGGUGUGGGCGAGCAGCGGGGGCGCGGGCGACGACAGGUCGACGGCCGCGCUGCUGGAGACCGGAAACCUCGUCAUCAGAGACUCGGGCGGCGCGGUGCUGUGGCAGAGCUUCGCCUCGCCGACCGACACCUUGCUCCCUUGGCAGCAGCUGACCAAGGACACCAGGUUGGUCUCCGGCUACCACAGCCUCUACUUCGACAACGACAAUCGGCUUCGUCUCGUGUACAACGGGCCCGAGUUCUCCAGCAUCUACUGGCCAAACGAUGACUACACCAUGUUUCAAGACGACGAUGGCCCGAGUUUCAACAACAAUUCCAGGCUUGCAGUCCUCGAUGACAAGGGUUGGUUCUCCUCAACCGAUGGCCUCCCGGUACCAGAAGAAGACUGACGCUCGAGCACGACGGCAACCUCAGAAUGCACAGCCUGGACGCGUCGAGUGGAAGAUGGGUGGUCACAUGGCAAGCCAUACUGCAGAUGCACUAUGUGCAUGGCCUAUGUGGGAAGAAGGGGUUCUUCGAGUACUCGCCGAGACUCCGCUGCUCGUGUCCUCCUGGAUUCGAGAUGGUUAAUCCAAACGUGUGGAGCAAAGGCUGCAGGCCGACGUUCAGCUACAACUGUGGUCAAGACAGGUACAGCUUCAUCCAGAUCCCUCAAACCGAUUUCUACGACUUUGAUCUUGGCGUCAACGACUCCAUCUCGUUUGAAGAGUGUAGAAACAUCUGCUUGGGCAUGUGCUCUUGCAUCGCUUUCUCUUACCGGCUGACCGGAACCGGCGUUUGUUACCCUAAAGGCCUGCUGUUCAAUGGCUACAAGUCGCCUGCAUUCCCAGGAAGUGUCUAUCUUGAAGUGCCCCUCACUGCUGACAUUCAGAUUCAGGUCUCUGAAUCACCACAAUCAGCUCUCACAUGCUCCCAUGUUGGUCCCAAGACUAGGCAUGAACCUUCAGAUCACAUGGACAGAUGGCUAUAUUUCUAUUUAUGUCCUGGAUUGUUAGGAGCCCUGGAGCUCAUUCUCAUCUUGACGACAUGGUGGUUCCUUUCCAGGAAGAAUGGCAAUGUGCAAGAUUCAACACAGGGAGGUUAUGCGGUGUUAAGAAAUCAGUUCAGGAGAUUUACUUACCAAGAGCUACAGCAAGCAACUGGAAGGUUCAGAGAAGAAGUUGGAAGAGGUGGCUCUGGGAUUGUGUACAGAGGAUUGCUAAAAGAUAAGAGGGUCAUCGCGGUGAAGAAUCUCAUGGAUGUCACCAAACACGAAGAGGAAUUCUGGGCAGACACGAAUGUGAUCGGGAGGAUCAAUCACAUGAACCUGGUUCGCACAUGGGGAUUCUGCUCACAAGGCAAACACAGGCUGCUGGUAUAUGAAUUUGUGGAGAAUGAGUCACUGGACAGGCACCUGUUCAGCGCGGAAAGAUUGCUCACGUGGAGCGAGCGUUUCCAUAUCGCCUUGGGAUCGGCGAGGGCCCUGGCUUAUCUCCACCACGAGUGCCUUGAGUGGGUUCUACACUGUGACGUGAAGCCUGAGAACAUACUCUUGACCCGAGAUUUUGAAGCCAAGAUAGCAGACUUUGGGUUAGCAAAGCUGUAUAAAAGAGAUGGAUCCAGUUUCAACUUCUCACAUAUGCGAGGAACAGCCGGUUAUAUGGCCCCGGAAUGGGCGAUGAAUCUGCCAAUCAAUGCCAAGGUCGACGUCUAUAGCUUCGGAGUGGUGCUCCUAGAACUGGUGGCUGGGAGGAGGAUUUCCAGCUGCACAAAGGAUGACAAAGUUAUCAAACUGAAACAAUUUGUCCGGGGUGUGAAGGAAGCUUUAGUUACCGGGGAUGCUGCGAGUAUAGUGGAUGCGAAGCUUCAUAGGCAGUUCCACACCGAUCAGGCGAUAAUUAUGAUGACGGCUGCUGUAUCGUGCCUCGCAGAAGAAAGAAGCAAGAGACCAACCAUGAAUGAAGUUGUAAAAUCUCUCUUGCAUUGCGAGGGAUGAAGGCAUUCGAUCCGCGUAAUUAACACAGUUGCAAACAGUGGGGGACCAAAAGAUAGUGAGAAACUGAGAACAUCGACCUGAAUAUAUAAAUGUGUUUUUGCUUCUGUGUGACCUUUCUCACAUUGCUACCAGAUUUCCUGACUUAAAUGGCGAAACAGGAUAUCUUGUAUAUGAUUGAGUCAAGAGCUGUUUGUUUAUUGGCUCUGUCCACUCAUUUGAUACUUUGUUGUCAUUCAACUACUUUGAAUUUUGCUUGUUAUUCUCUGGACGUACAACGCUUGAUGGUAAAAUUUCCCUACUAAUGGGACUCGUUUAAACGGUAAACAUCGAUCAUAAUUCAGAAAAUAAACACAAGAUGGAGUGGCAUAUAUACUCUCUCCGUCCCAAAACACAAGAUGAACUGAGUUUGAAAUUUGAACUAAAGCGUCGACAUUAUCUUGGGAGGCAGGGGAUACCUACUAACAUGUACUACUCUCUGAUGGAUGGCCUGGACAUACAAUCAGUUCGUCCUGUUGUAUGAUGAACUUGCUGGUGAUGGUCACACAUGCUAAGGGGUCACCUAUGCAUCAGUUGCUUCGACAGAAAAAGAAACCCAGUUCCAUUCCACUGGGUCUGAUGUAUGGAGAGGGCCGGUGGCGAGCAAACCUGGCCAGCAUGGGCCAUUCCACCCAACGUGGUCAAACCUCCUUGGCACAUAGCUAAAACACGAGAGAUAAUUGCACACUAGAAGCAAUCAUACACAACAAUGCACUCCAUGAAUGGUACACAGGAUAACAUCAGGUCGAAUUAUUCAAGAUAUACCUAACAUGAUUCAAGUAAACCUAAGUAAUGGAACAUCAAAUAUCUAAGGACGCGAAAAAAACAGAAAUGAAUACGUACAGCUGGGCCAUCACAUGGAGGUGACAAUCAGGGGCAUCCCAUAUUAGCCAAACCAAUUUAGACCAAGUUGGUUAGAAGUCGGUGGUAGUUUUACUGGUUUCUGCCAUGUUUGAGAAUUUUUUCACCGUUGUUCGGGCGGCCACCAACUUCCUAGUGGCAGAGCAAACAAGGUCGGACCUGAACUAUCAACACUUACUCUGCCCGUCAUGUGAUCAUGUUAGAACGCAGGCUACUCGAAUGAACGCAUAACUAAGUGUUGCCUCCUUUCACUGAAGCUGAGAUCUGCUGCUGCUUUCAGGCCAAUGGAAGCUUGGCGCAUUGUUGUAUUGUGUCAAAUCGAAAGAUAUGGUCUCCACCUAGAAGGCAAACAAAUUUUAAGAAAAAUAAGCAUUAGUUUAUCUGAAUUUACUGAGACCAGUAAGAACAGACAGGGGUACUCGAAAGGGUAUAUUUGAGCUUACUCCGUAUGGGAAGGUAUCUGGUGCACCACUAGAUGUUAAUGGCCAUCCCUCAUUUACUUGAUCUUCCUGAACCUAAUGGGGAAAAACUUCAAUGUUAAUCAUCAAGAACUAUAUGAAGAAAAAAAAUUACUAGUCAAAUGUGUGGACCUAGUAACAAUACAUACAUUUGCGCUUUCUGUUAUGCUGUCAGUUGCGGUGACCGUUGUGCAUAGGUUGUUCGCAGUGGCAUUCCUCCUCUUGUUAUAGGCCCUUUUAGUUUUCUUCUUCAGGGUAUCAAGAACUGUUGGUGUCGUCAGUUUCUUCUUGCGAGAACGUUUUGACUGACCUUGCAUGAGAUCCCAGCCCUUCGUACUAAGAGAAAUGGGUAAUGCAUCAUCAGUAAAAUCCUCAUUCACUGGAUUAUAUGCAAAGUUGGCAGUUGAAACUUGGCUGUCAACCCUUUGAUCUCUCAGUGACUUCUCAUAAGAAAUCACUUUAUCCCUGAUCUCCCUCAUGACUGACAAAGCAUAAUCUUUUGAUUCUGAGUUCACAGAACCCAGUUCCACAACUUCUGCAAAGUAUUGGUGGCCUAGUUUGUAGAGAUCAUCAUAACCUCCCAAUUCCUGACUGCUUAAUGAGACGUCCCGGGACAUGGAAGAACAAGUUAGUUUACAAUCCUUGCACCAGCGAUGAAUGAUGUAUUUUGAUGGAAUCAUCGGUACAAGCUCCUGCCUCAGUACAGUGAGAGCAUGUCUGCACAAUAUACCUUUAAAUUGAAACAAGCGGCAGAAGCACCAUAUGUCAUCUUCAGCAUUGUCAUAAGCAACUUUGUAGUCCACCUUUGUUUGAUUUACAUGCUCUGAUACUAUGUAUGUAACUACUGAAUCACUCCGAUCAAGUAUACUAUAGUUGCAGUGAAAUGAACGCCCUAAUUCAUUCAAGAAAGUUUGAAAUAUCUCCAUUGUGUACAUCUUUGCUGCUUGCUCCUCCACAGGCAAUCCAGUCAUCAACUGUGGCCUCAUCUGAGACGAGUGCAAAUCCUCAUAGGUUUCCUUUUCUAACUUAGUUCUAACAGCUGCCUCAUACUGCUCAACAAACAUUUUCACAGAUGUAUCAGACGUCAACCACCCAUCAAAAUAGUCAGUUGCACUGUCAGUUCUGUCUGUGACGGACAUUCCCGCCCAAAAAAAAUCCUUCACAUAAGCAGGAGCCCACUGUGCCCUGACCUCGUAUAAUUUGGACAGCCAUUCAUUUCCCUCCAACUGAAAUUGAUGCGUCAUUUCUUGCCACUCUUUGUCAAAAUCAAGAGUAGUAACUGAGUCAUAGGCCAAUGUGCUGAAAGUAGAAAUCACUUCAUCCUUCUUUUCCAUUCCGGCCAACUUCUCAGGAAGCUCAUUUAAAAUGUGCCGAAGGCAAAAGCGGUGCCGUGAAUUGGGGAAAACCUUUUUAACAGCUAUUGCAACAUCAUGACAAUAGUUGGUAAUUAUUGAAGGUGGUGACGUGGCAUUCAUGCAUCUUAACCAUGUAUCAAAAAGCCACACGUAAGCUCCAAGAGAUCUACCAGCAAGCAAACCACACCCUAGUAACAGUGGUUGAGCGUGGUGGUUAGUGCCCACAAAUGACACAAACUGUAUAUCAUACUGAUCGCUGAAGUUUGUGACAUUAAUAGCAACCACAUCACCAAAGUAAUUGUAAGAACUACGUGAUUUGGCAUCAGCCCAGAAGACAUUCCUUAGCUGUCCUUGCUCAUUCAUGUCUAAACUGUGAAAGAAACACGGGUUUCGGUCUUGCAUGUCGUUGAAAAAACUCACUAAUGCCUCUAAAUCUCCUUCAGCAAGCUUCAGUUUCCUAUUUCUGUCUAUCUUGGUCUUGAUUUCAAUCUGGGCAGAUGAAGGUAUGCCACUAUCUCCAAAACUACUAGAAUGUCCAACAACUGAGCUACUCUGUGGCGCCUCAGACAAACGAGGUGGAUUUAGAGAGAAAGGGAUGUUCUCUAGAUGCUUCUUAUAUUUAACCGAACCGGGAUCCAGUGGAUGGUUAUGCUCCAACUCGAGAACAAUAACUUCCCAGCGAUUCUGAAAAUGGGCGUCCUUGACAAUGAUCUUAGCCUUGCAGCCAGUCUUUGUGCCCCGCUUUCUUGCAGGCCUUGUCACACCAGAUCUCAGCCUAGAUUGCCCUCCUUUAGAGCAUAUGAAGGUAGAGCGAUAGCGGAAACCAUCAAAGGUGUUGUUAGACCUCCUUGUGAUACCAAAACCAGAGUGGCAUCCAUAUGCGACAUAGAACUGAAAGGCGUCUUCCUCUGAGUCGAAUACCAUCCCCACUUUAGGUAUCCAUUCUGGAUCCAUAUCAACCGGCUUAAAGACAUCGCCCUCAGCAAGGCUUUUCUCCUUGUCACCGUCUUCUUGCACGUCUCCUUCAUUGGAUGAUUCGGUGCUAUAGCCUUCCUCUUCCAUUGGCCCCAAAUAAUCUAUUCGGCCUGAAAGAAGAUGAGCAGUAUCAUAAACCGUGUAUAAAUACAGUUGAAAGAAGCAUGCUGAGCAUUUCUACAGCAGUUUUGGUUCAUAAAUAAUUUUACAACUUUCUUCAAUGAUUAUUACUUCAGAGUACUACUGCCGGCACUCGGUGGCGGAGCUAGGAUUUGAAACGAAUGUGACAUGUGAACAUUUCUAGUAAUUACCAAUAUCAUAUAUAAAUAGAUCAAAAAAUGUAGUCUUGCAACAUCGAGAAGGUUAUUUGUCGAACCGUAAAUAAAACUGAACAUGUUAUGUGUCGAUGUAGUGUUGUACAAAUAAUAAUUCCCUGGCUACCUGACUUCAGUCUCUGGAUAAAUCGAGAUCGGGGCUGCUGCACGCCUCCAGUUUCCAGACUCUGGUGAAUCCCAAGGAGGGCGAAGGCUAGAGGAGCUGCCGGGCCUGGACAAAUUCAGAUCUGUGCCAAAAAAUCGUGUCAAAUUCGAUGUAAAUAUGUCUAAAUCAGAGAUCAAGUGAGCAACCAUGGGGGAUGGGGUACCUCUAUAGGAAGGAGACGGGCACCACACCUGAGCGGAUUGGGCGGCUCCGGCAGUUCGGUUAACAGGGAGGGAGGCUCCGCGUACUGCUGCGCAGUGGUACGCGCCUGCGCGGGCAGCAGCCGCCGGGCGGUGGGAGGGCAGGCAGGCAGGCAGCGGGCGUCAGGGCGGUCCGGCGGUGGCUCCGGGCGGCCGGGCGGGCUGGCUCGGCUGGCGGCGGAUCAGUGCGUCUCAGCAGUCACCGUGGACUGGGUUGGCCGGACAAGCAGACGACACCAGCGUAGGCUGUUUGCUGGGCUUCUUUUCUCCCAGGCCCAUCUCCUGGUAAUUCUCAAAAAAAAAAGACCAGCCCAAAAUCCCAGGGUGGGCCGCGGCACUCCCUGUUUGUUGGCUUGCUGAAGAAAGAAAGCAACCAACCAACCAAAUUCAGAGGAGGGGCUCGCAAGCAAGCAAGGAGGCCAAGAGAGCAAAGGAGGGGCUUAUCAUCAGCUAUGUGGGAGCCGGGCGAGGUAGCGCUUGCUGAGACGGUCGAUGGAGAUGCCAACGGCGCGUGCUUCGAGCUGGACGACAUGCGCAGGCACAGGAGUCACGCAAGGCCUGAUGGUGCAAACAUUGACGCACUUCAGCAGUGCAUGAGGAUAGAGGUGUGCCAAGCUACGGGAUACGCUAGGCUCCAGCUAUGUCGUGGAUGAAUAAAGAAGGGAGCAUCCAGCAUCCCUUGCGCGCUAUAAAAGGAGGAGGACUGAGCGGUGUGACACAUACACACACACACACAACACCAGACUCCAGAGCAUGGCAGCAUCCAAGCACCGAAGCCCUCACACUCCUCUGUAGUCGUAGUAGUAGCUAGCUCUAGUUGUAAUAAAGCCUUUGAGGCAUUGUAUUAAUCCGUGGUGAAGGUAGGCAAAAGGUAGUUUUCUUUUCUCUUUGUAGUCCCUUCGGGGUCUCUCGAAAGGGAAAUCCGUAUGUAAAUUAUGUUGUCAAAAUGAAGUAGUUUCGUGUUUCACUUAGUCUUUCUAUUAUGAAUUUAUGAGAUAAGUUCUUACGCUAGGGAUUCAAUAGGAAAAACCUCUGCCGGUAGUUCUCUGUUUAGCCUGUGUGGCGUCUGUUGAGAAUCUUGUGGCCGUAGAGAAGUGUUCCCUUCUAGUAAAACUGUCUGGGAAGACGCCCAUAAAUUCGUAAUAUAAACAUCAACUGAAAGUACUUAGCUGCUUCUCAAGCAACAUAGUGGUAAUACGGAGGGUACUAGGAUUAACACAACCGCUGCAUACCCGUAGGCUGUCUUGUUGAUUUCGCCAACCCGUAAAAGAACCUGCAGAGCAUCUAAAUAAAUUACGUUAAUCUCAGAUUCACUAAUUAAAUAAUUUUUGAUAUUAAAUAAUUUUGAAAUUUUUAAUUACCUAAGUUUCAUACUAAAUAAUUUUGUACUUUUGCGUAUUAAUAAAUUUUUAAAUUAAUUUAUAUAUUUGUGUGUCAUGUGUACUUUUUCAAACUUUUCAAAAACUUAAAAGAUUGAUUUUUAAUUUUAUUUUUAUUCUUGGCAUUCGGCGUGCCAGGCUGCAAACACUUUUUGGUAGGUAGGUGAUGAGGCACGAACUAGGGAGAUGCCAAUUCAGGCGUGUAGAUGGCCCGAUCUUUCACGGCGAUACUCGAUCAACACCUCGUCUCCCUGUUCCUCCUGGUAACCUCCAAGAACAAUUUUCACCUGUGUACAAAAAUACACAAACGAAAAUAAUGACCCCUUUGGAUUAGCACGUAGGGGUCGAUGUGAUGAUCAACCCUCCGUCGCUAGUAAAUUUUCACGAUGGGAAAAUCACAAAUAAUACACAAGAUAUGGUCGCCCGUAACUCGGAGUUUUUCUGUAUAUCUCAUACUCGAAAUAAAACUCCAAACUGAUCUCUCUGUUACAUGGACGCCAUCCACUUUUAUAUAACCAACGCAUCGCCUAAGGCCCACACCGCCUAGACUCCUAAGUAGUACGUAACUAGUACAACUUGCCAUCAUGAUUUAUAUGUCACGCAAUUAGAAGAAAAACUACUAGCUAACAAGAAGAUAUACUUCCUAUUUUUAAAAUAAAACACAUACGUACGUAAGGUAAAGGGACUACGAAAAAAAGACUAUUCUCCAUGCAAUUAGGACCCAACGUGCAGCUCCAUCGUCCCUUUUUUAAUCCAUCGGGGAGGUGUACGAGAGUUGGGCUGCACCUUGCCACGUAUGGGUUCAUCCAUAAUCUCAAGUUUGUUGAUGUGAUGAGCAUAUACUUCUUGGAAAGGAUCUGACUUCUUUUUAUUUAUCAAACCAAAUUGAUAUAUUGGCUUAAUAUAUGGACGUGGCUCACAUGGCUUCUGCGAUUCUCUUAUAUCUCCUUGUGUAUGUGCAUGUACAAGAUUUGUACAAGCACGUCUACACAUCAAUUUGUUGUCCAAAUUACCAUCUUGACGUGCACCCAUCUUUGCGGCACGAAUACCUAGACCGCAUAGCAAACGUUCCUUGCCAUCUCUGCCGGUGUGCAAUAUAUCUGGACAACUUAUAAUUGUAUCAGCAUCCUCGAAUAGACUCUCCUUGCUCACCUUAGUUGGUUCGAGUUUAGUAGCAGCCGCACUUGAUAAUAUUCUAGACGUUGCAAUGUCCGUAUCAGUAGGCCUGCAACGGAUUUUGAACAAAGGGAGAGAUGGCUCGUGGAGAAUAAGUUAGCUGCCUCAUGUGUGACCAGCCUGCCAACCAGGGACGAGCGAGCAACAUAAAUGAAUACCGGGGGUAGGAUUCAAAGUAAUGGAGUUUUUUCCUCUCUUUUUUAUGGAUUUUUUUCACUGUCUUGCAUCAGGUUUCUUCGAGUUUUAUAUGGUUUUCUUGGGUUCCAUUUUCCUUUUGCACUUUCCCUUUUUUUUCUUUGCCUUUUUUUCUUUGUUCUUUGUUUUUUUCUUUCUUAAUUUUAUUUGUAUUUUUUGCAACACAUGUCAAAUAUAUUCAUACACAUUUUUAUAUCUUUUUACACAUGUCAAAUAUUUACAUACACAUUUUUAUUUAUUUUUGUAUACAUGAGCAACAUUUUUUACACAUGUUUAACAUUUUGCAAAUACAUGAUUAGCAUCUUUUCAAAUAUAUGUUUUCAUGUCUACAUUUUUCCUUACACAUUGUAUAUUUUUGGUAUACAUCAAACAUAUUUUUUAUAUACUUUUAACAUUUUAAAAUACGUGAUCCACAUUUUCUCAAAUACUUGUUUAAAAAAUCAAAUAUGCGCUAACUUUUUUCAAAUAUGCAUUGAUGUUUUUUUGGUAUGAUACAUAACCAUUAUUGUAAACUAUGCGGACAUUUUUUUACAUUGGAUAAAUACUCUUUUAAAUGCCACAAACAUUUUUUUGAACCGUGUGAACAUUUUUCUUAAGUAAUGUUCGGUACAAGACAUUUAUUACAUGGAUAUAUUUUUUACAUUGUACUCCUUACGUAAAGAAAUAUAAGAGUGUUUAGAGCAUUUAGUGAUCUAAACGCUCCUAUAUUUCUUUACUGAGGGAGUAUAUUAUUUUCAAAAAGUACCACUUACAUUUUUUUGAAAACACGUAAGAAUUUUUUUAAUAUCACAUACAUUUUUUAAUGGUAAGAGCAUUUCAUGUUGAGCGAACAUUUUUAAAUGUGUGGUACACUUCUAAAAAAGUUAACUAAAUUAUUUUUUCCAUAAAUAUAUGUAUUUAGUAUUUUCAAAAUAUACAUAAAAUAUAAUGUGCGGUACACGUGAACAGACUUCUGAAUCCAGUUGAUAUAUUUGUGCUGAAUGUGGUGCCUGAGCUGAUCUUGGACUGUAAACUGUUGAAACGAGGUAAUCGAGCCCAUCUCAAGUGUCAAUUCAACGGUUAGCACUUUCUGCAAAAGACGAGGGACGAGACUUGCCUGCUCCCUCCCCGUGCUCCCAUCUGUGCUCCCGCUUACGUGGCUUGAUUUGAUUGGAAGAAAAUAAGGCCCGGUCCCACCCCCUGAAAAUCAAGGGGGAAGAUCAUUAGAUUAGAAAAAAAAAAGAAAAUGACAGCCGUAGGAUGAAGUGGGAGCACGAAUGGGAGCAUGGGAAGGGAGCAGGCAAGCCUCCCCGAAAGACGAGUACCCCGGAAGGACUAUGACAACCUACGACGGCGCUAUCCAUCGAGGUAAGCAUAUGGUGACAUGCUUUUGCACAAGACGGCGGAAACGUCAGCAUGACGUCCCUUAGACCGACGACCGAGGCACCUGGGAUGGGAGCAGAGGAGUGGGCGGGAGGUUCAGGCGCGCGCCGAGUGGGCGACUGAACGAAUGGGCCGUGGGUGUGGAGCAACCGUUAUGGCAUGUGAUCGAGUGGCUGGAUUAAAAAGGGUGGACAGUCGUUUCUCAAAAAAGAAAAGAAAAAGGUGGACAUUGAAUAAUAAGCUUAGUAAAGUCUAGUUGUUUCUCAAAAAAAAAGUAAGAUCUUGUUAUUCCUUCCGUUCACUUUUGUAAGUCGUUUCAGACAAUUCAAAAUAGGUUGUUUUACAUAUUGUCUAAGAUGUCUUUAAGGUCUUAUAAAAAUGAACAUAGGGAGUACUAAAAAAAGAUGAGUAAAGUCUAAUUCUGUACUAAGUGAUCUCUCUGGACUUUGAUCGGACCCUUCCCCAAGUUAUUCUUCUUCUACACUAGUAGAAAACAGGGUUUUGGUCCAGGCCGGGUCAGCCUAUUAGUUCGGGUUCAGUCCAGAACCGGGACCAAUGGGGGCAUUGGUCCCGGUUCGUGAGCCCAGGGGGCUGGCCGGGCCACGUGGGCCAUUGGUCCCGAUUCAUCUGGACCUUUUGGUCCCGGUUGGUGGGAUGAACCGGGACCAAUGUGCCUCGCUCCUGGCCCACCACCAUUGGUCCCGGUUGGUGGCUUGAACCGGGACCAAAGGCUCCCCUUUAGUCCCGGUUCAUGUCACCAACCGAAACCAAUGAGGUGCCUAUAUAUACCCCUCGCUCGCGAGUAGAGCACCCCAGUGCUCGGUUUUUCUCUGGCCGAGGGGGAGAGGGCUUGGUGGUGCUCUAACUUACCUCCUAUGCACACAAGGUGUUCGAUGAAAUGCCCGAACCACACUACUUAAGCUUUCUCCUCUCCAAGCUCGACCUCCAACCUCCAUUUUCCACAAUAUUUGUCUAGGUUUAGCGGUCUGUCACGCCCCGUCCCCGUCUUCACCGCCGUCGAUCACCCGCGCCGAGCUCAUCCCCGGCACCACCGUGGUGAGCCUCUUGUUCUUAUCUUCUUUCUGAAAGAAAAAAUAUUCUUACUUGUAUGUUUACAUAGAUACUUGUAUUAUUUUCUUACUUUUAUUAUUGCAACUUAUAUAGUGUGAUGGUUUUGGUAUCCGCCCCCGUCGGCCCUCGUCCUGUCUAUGAUUCGGAUGUGGUAUAUAUAUUAUCUUUAUAACUAUUGGUUCAUUUAUUGUUUAUGAAAAUUAUGCCGACCAACGUGACAUAGAUUUUAUUUAUGUAGGAUGUAUGUGAAUCGAAAAUGCCAACCGACCCUAUUGUCGAGAGGUUAAAUUUAGUUGAAGAAGAAAACAAUUUGUUGAAGGAAAAAAAAUGAGGAGGAGAAGAUGAUAUUGGAGUUGCAUGUUGCGGAUGUCGUCGAUGAUCACAAGAUCAAGAUGGAUGCAAUGCGCUUGAAGAUUAGAAAGAUUAGAAAAUAUGUCAUUCAUACCGAGGCUUGGUAUCAUUAUGCCGUUGGAUCAAUUGUUACCUUGGUUGCGAUUAUGAUCGCAUUUGUUUUCGCAUUGAAAUGUUUUACAUAGUUUCAAUGUAUGGUUUAAUUAAUUAGAUGCUCUGGAGAGCUAUAUGUUGUUAGAUGAGAACUAUGUAUGCACUUUGGUUUUAAUGUGAUGAUGAACUUCUAUUAAUUUGGACACUUAAUUAUAUACAAUGCACGCAGAUGAACCGGCAAUGGAUGUACGCUGACAGACACACCUGCGAGUACAUUAAGGGCGUGCAUGAGUUUCUCGAUGCGGCUGAGGCAAACAAGCAGAAUGGUUUUAUGUGUUGUCCAUGCACUGAAUGUGGGAAUACGAGGUCUUACUCUAACCGGAAAAUUCUUCACUCCCACCUGCUUUACAAGGGUUUCAUGCCACACUAUAAUGUUUGGACGAGGCACGGAGAAAUAGGGGUUAUGAUGGAAGACGGCGAAGAAGAAGAGUACGAUGACAACUAUGUGCCCCCUGAAUACGGUGAUGCUGCAACGGGGGGAGCUGGUGAAGAUCAAGAGGAACCAGACGAUGUGCCCAAUGAUGCUGCAACGGGUGAAGCUGCUGAAGAUCAAGAGGAACCAGACGAUGUGCCCGAUGAUGAUGAUCUCCGCUGGGUCAUUGUCGAUGCAAGGACGCAAUGCGAAAGUCAAAAGGAGAAGCUGAAGUUCGAUCGCAUGUUAGAGGAUCACAAAAAAGGGUUAUACCCCAAUUGCGAAGAUGGCAACACAAAGCUCGGUACCGUACUAGAAUUGCUACAGUGGAAGGCAGAGAAUGUUGUGGCUGACAAAGGAUUUGAGAAGCUACUGAAAAUAUUGAAGAAGAAGCUUUCAAAGGAUAACGAAUUGCCCAACAGUACAUACGUAGCAAAGAAGGUCGUAUGCCCUCUAGGAUUGGAGGUGAAGAAGAUACAUGCAUGCCCUAAUGACUGCAUCCUCUACCGCGGUGCAUACAAGGAUCUGAACGCAUGCCCGGUAUGCGGUGCAUUGCGGUAUAAGAUCAGACGAGAUGACCCUGGUGAUGUUGACGGUGAGCCCCCCAGGAAGAGGGUUCCUGCGAAGGUGAUGUGGUAUGCUCCUAUAAUACCACGGUUGAAACGUCUGUUCAGAAACGAAGAGCAUGCCAAGUUGAUGCGAUGGCACAGUGAGAACCGAAAGAAAGAUGGGAAGUUCAGAGCACCCGCUGACGGGUCGCAGUGGAGAAAAAUCGAGAGAAAGUACUGGGAUGAGUUUGCAAAGGACCCAAGGAAUGUAUGGUUUGCUUUAAGCGCAGAUGGCAUUAAUCCUUUCGGGGAGCAGAGCAGCAAUCACAGAACCUGGCCCGUGACUCUAUGUAUGUAUAACCUUCCUCAUUGGAUGUGCAUGAAGCGGAAGUUCAUUAUGAUGCCAGUUCUCAUCCAAGGCCCUAAGCAACCAGGCAACGACAUUGAUGUGUACCUAAGGCCAUUAGUUGAAGAAUUUUUACAGCUGUGGAAUGGAAACGGUGUACGUACGUGGGAUGAGCACAGACAGGAGGAAUUUAACCUUAAGGCGUUGUUGUUCGUGACCAUCAACGAUUGACCCGCUCUCAGUAACCUUUCAGGACAGACAAACAAAGGAUACCACGCAUGCACGCACUAUUUAGGUGACACUGAAAGUAUAUACCUGGACAAAUGCAGGAAGAAUGUGUACCUGGGCCAUCGUCGAUUUCUUCCGACCAACCAUCAAUGUCGAAAGAAAGGCAAGCAUUUCAAAGACGAGGCAGAUCACCGGAAGAAGCCCGCCAUGCGUAGCGGUGAUCACGUACUUGCUAUGGUCAAUGAUUUACACUACGUAAUCUUUGGAAAGGGUCCCAGUGGACUAGCUAUUCUGAAUGACGCUGAGGGACACACACCCAUGUGGAAGAAGAAAUCUAUAUUUUGGGACCUACCCUACUGGAAAGACUUAGAGGUCCGCUCUUCAAUCGACGUGAUGCACGUGACGAAGAACCUUUGCGUGAACCUGCUAGGCUUCUUGGGCGUGUAUGGGAAGACAAAAGAUACACCUGAGGCACGGGAGAACCUGCAAUGUUUGCACGAAAAAGACGGCAUGCCUCCGAAGCAGUAUAAAGGUCCUGCCAGCUACGCUCUUACGAAAGAAGAGAAAGAAAUCUUCUUUGAAUGCCUGCUCAGUAUGAAGGUCACGACUGGCUUCUCGUCGAAUAUAAAGGGAAUAAUAAAUAUGCCAGAGAAAAAGUUUUAGAACCUAAAGUCUCAUGACUACCACGUGAUUAUGACGCAACUGCUUCCGGUUGCAUUGAGGGGGCUUCUACCGGAAAACGUCCGAUUAGCCAUUGUGAAGCUAUGUGCAUUCCUCAAUGCAAUCUCUCAGAAGGUGAUCGAUCCAGAAAUCGUACCAAGGCUAAGGAGUGAUGUGGCGCAAUGUCUUGUCAGUUUCGAGCUGGUGUUCCCACCAUCCUUCUUCAAUAUCAUGACGCACGUCCUAGUUCAUCUAGUCGACGAGAUUGUCAUCCUGGGGCCCGUAUUUCUACACAAUAUGUUCCCCUUUAAGAGGUUCAUGGGAGUCCUAAAGAAAUAUGUCCGUAACCGCGCUAGGCCAGAAGGAAGCAUCUCCAUGGGCCAUCAAACAGAGGAUGUUAUCGGGUUUUGUGUUGACUUCAUUCCCGGCCUUAAGAAGAUAGGUCUCCCUAAAUCGCGGUAUGAGGGGAGACUGACUGGAAAAGGCACUCUUGGAAGAGACUCAAUAAUAUGCAGGGACGGAUAUUCUUGGUCUCAAGCACACUACACAGUUCUACAGAACUCUACCUUGGUGACCCCGUAUGUCGAUGAACACAAGAACAGUCUGCGCUCCAAACACCCGGAGCAGUACGACAACUGGAUUACAUGUGAACACAUUAGGAAUUUCAGCAGUUGGUUGGAAACACGUCUCAGAGGUGACAACACUGUUUGUGAUGAGUUGUACUUGUUUUCCAGGGGACCAUCUUUGACUGUAUUGACUUACAAAGGAUACGAGAUAAAUGGGAAUACAUUUUACACAAUCAUCCAAGAUCAAAAGAGCACCAACCAAAACAGCGGUGUCCGCUUUGAUGCAGCAACCGAGAGCGGAAAGGACACAUAUUAUGGUUACAUAAUGGACAUAUGAGAACUUGAUUACGGACCUGAUUUUAAGGUCCCUUUGUUUAAGUGCAAAUGGGUCAAUCUGUCAGGCGGCGGGGUACAGGUAGACCCACAGUACGGAAUGACAAUAAUGGAUCUGAAAAAUCUUGGGUACACUGACGAACCGUUCGUCCUAGCUAAUAAUGUGGCACAGGUUAUCUAUGUGAAGGACAUGUCUACCAAACCGAGAAAAAGAAAAGAUAAGGAAGCGAAUACAUCAUACGAUGAGCCAAACCGCCACAUAGUUCUUUCAGGAAAAAGGAACAUCCUGGGAGUGGACGGCAAGACAGACAUGUCUGAAGAUUAUGAAAAGUUUCAUGAAAUUCCUCCCUUCAAUGACAAGGCUGACCCAAGCAUCCUGAUAAACAAUGAAGAUUAUCCAUGGUUACGGCGCAAUAAGCAAAUGACACAAGCGAAGAAAAAAUGAAGACUUUCUCCUGCAACUAUUAUGAUGAUACCAUGCCAACUUUGUAACACACGAACAUGCUACCAUUGUCCGUUUUAUACAUGCACAUGCUAUGUGGGUGAAAUUAUGAUACCAUGCCAACUUUCAACCUUUUCAGAGUUCAUUUGAAAUGCUUUCAUGUCUUAUGGUUCGGCCCUCGUAAUACCAUUUUUCAAAUUUUAACUAUUCAAAUUUGAAAACUAAUGGCACUAACAGAAAGUUUAUAAUUUUUUCUAAAACUGAUGGCACUAACAGAAAGUUUAUAAUUUUUCUGACCUAAAAGCAAAAAGAAUUAAAAAAUGCAAAAAACAAAAGAAAAUAAAUAAUGCAAAAAACAAAAAAAACUGGAAAAAGUAAAGUUAAUCACAAACUUGUGAUUCAAACAAAUUUCAAAGAAUUCAAAUUUUAACUAUUCAAAUUUGAAAACUAAUGGCACUAACAAAAAGUUUAUAAUUUUUCUAAAACUAAUGGCACUAACAGAAAGUUUAUAAUUUUGCUCCUCGCCCCUGGCCCAUGACCAUUAGUCCCGGUUUGUGCCAUAAACCGGGACUAAAGGGUUGGUCCUUGUUGCGGGCAGAGUUUAGUCCCACCUCGCCAAUCGAAGGGGGCUCAUACCGGUUUAUAAGUGAAGGAAAUAUGCCCUAGAGGCAAUAAUAAAGUUAUUAUUUAUUUCCUUAUAUCAUGAUAAAUGUUUAUUAUUCAUGCUAGAAUUGUAUUAACCGGAAACAUAAUACAUGUGUGAAUACAUAGACAAACAGAGUGUCACUAGUAUGCCUCUACUUGACUAGCUCGUUAAUCAAAGAUGGUUAUGUUUCCUAACCAUGGACAAAGAGUUGUUAUUUGAUUAACGGGAUCACAUCAUUAGGUGAAUGAUCUGAUUGACAUGACCCAUUCUAUUAGCUUAGCACCCGAUCGUUUAGUAUGUUGCUAUUGCUUUCUUCAUGACUUAUGCAUGUUCCUAUGACUAUGAGAUUAUGCAACUCCCGUUUGCCGGAGGAACACUUUGUGUGCUACCAAACAUCACAACGUAACUGGGUGAUUAUAAAGGUGCUCUACAGGUGUCUCCAAAGGUACAUGUUUGGUUGGCGUAUUUCGAGAUUACGAUUUGUCACUCCGAUUGUCGGAGAGGUAUCUCUGGGCCCUCUCGGAAUGCACAUCACAUAAGCCUUGCAAGCAUUGCAACUAAUGAGUUAGUUGUGAGAUGAUGUAUUACGGAACGAGUAAAGAGACUUGCCGGUAACGAGAUUGAACUAGGUAUUGAGAUACCGACGAUCGAGUCUCGGGCAAGUAACAUACCGAUGACAAAGGGAACAACGUAUGUCGUUAUGCGGUCUGACCGAUAAAAGAUCUUCAUAGAAUAUGUAGGAGCCAAUAUGAGCAUCCAGGUUCCGCUAUUGGUUAUUGACCGGAGACGUGUCUCGGUCAGGUCUACAUUGUUCUCGAACCCGCAGGGUCCGCACGCUUAAGGUUUCGAUGACAGUUAUAUUAUAGUUUAUGCAUUUUGAUGUACCAAAGUUUGUUCGGA